CCUACGGGAGGCAGCAGUGAGGAAUAUUGGUCAAUGGGAGAGAUCCUGAACCAGCCAAGCCGCGUGAGGGAAGACGGCCCUAUGGGUUGUAAACCUCUUUUGUCGGAGAACAAAACCCGGGACGUGUCCCGGACUGCGUGUAUCCGAAGAAAAAGCAUCGGCUAACUCGGUGCAAGCAGCCGCGGUAAUACGGGGGAUGCGAGCGUUAUCCGGAUUUAUUGGGGUUAAAGGGUGCGUCGGCGGUCCGUUAAGUCAGCGGUAAAAUUGCGGUGUUAAACCCCGUCGUGCCGUUGAAAAUGGCAGACUUGAGUUGGCGAGAAGGACGCGGAAUUCGCGGUGUAGGGGUGAAAUGCAUAGAUAUCGCGAAGAACUCCGAUUGCGAAGGCAGCGUACCGGCGCCAGACUGACGCUGAGGCACGAAAGCGUGGGGAUCGAACAGGAUUAGAUACCCCUGUAGUC
rnacentral:rRNA from 1 species